rnacentral:rRNA from 1 species
GAUGAACGCUGGCGGCGUGCCUAAUACAUGAAAGUCGAGCGAACAGACGAGGAGCUUGCUCCUCUGACGUUAGCGGCGGACGGGUGAGUAACACGUGGAUAACCUACCUAUAAGACUGGGAUAACUUCGGGAAACCGGAGCUAAUACCGGAUAAUAUAUUGAACCGCAUGGUUCAAUAGUGAAAGACGGUUUUGCUGUCACUUAUAGAUGGAUCCGCGCCGCAUUAGCUAGUUGGUAAGGUAACGGCUUACCAAGGCAACGAUGCGUAGCCGACCUGAGAGGGUGAUCGGCCACACUGGAACUGAGACACGGUCCAGACUCCUACGGGAGGCAGCAGUAGGGAAUCUUCCGCAAUGGGCGAAAGCUUGACGGAGCAACGCCGCGUGAGUGAUGAAGGUCUUCGGAUCGUAAAACUCUGUUAUUAGGGAAGAACAAAUGUGUAAGUAACUAUGCACGUCUUGACGGUACCUAAUCAGAAAGCCACGGCUAACUACGUG